GAUGAACGCUGGCGGCGUGCCUAAUACAUGCAAGUCGAGCGGACAGACUGGAAGAUUGCUCUCCUAAGGUUAGCGGCGGGCGGGUGAGUAACUCGUGCAUAGCCUACUUAUAGUACUGGGCUAACUACGUGAAACCGGAGCUGCUACCGGAUUAUAGAUUCAACCGGAUUGUUCUAUAGUGCAAGACGCUUUUGCUGUAACUUAUAGCUGGAUCCGCUGCUCAUUCGCGAGUUGGUACGGUAACGGCUUACCGAGGCGACGAUGCGUAGCCGACCUGAGAGGGUGAUCAGCCACACGGGAACUGAGACACGGUCCAGACUCCUACGGGAGGCAGCAGUAGGGAAUCUUCGGCAAUGGGCGAAAGCCUGACGGAGCAACGCCGCGUGAGUGAUGAAGGGCUUCGGAUUGUAAAACCCUGUUAUUGGGGAAGAACAAAAGUAGAAUAAAAUAUCGCCGUCUUGACGGUACCUAAUCAGAAAGCCACGGCUAACUACGUG
rnacentral:rRNA from 1 species